rnacentral:rRNA from 1 species
GACGAACGCUGCGGCGUGCUUAACACAUGCAAGUCGCACGGAAAGGCCCUGCUUUUGUGGGGUGCUCGCGUGGCGAACGGGUGAGUAACACGUGAGUAACCUGCCCUUGACUUUGGGAUAACUUCAGGAAACUGGGGCUAAUACCGGAUAGGAGCUCCUGCUGCAUGGUGGGGGUUGGAAAGUUUCGGCGGUUGGGGAUGGACUCGCGGCUUAUCAGCUUGUUGGUGGGGUAGUGGCUUACCAAGGCUUUGACGGGUAGCCGGCCUGAGAGGGUGACCGGCCACAUUGGGACUGAGAUACGGCCCAGACUCCUACGGGAGGCAGCAGUGGGGAAUAUUGCACAAUGGGCGGAAGCCUGAUGCAGCAACGCCGCGUGCGGGAUGACGGCCUUCGGGUUGUAAACCGCUUUCGCCUGUGACGAAGCGUGAGUGACGGUAAUGGGUAAAGAAGCACCGGCUAACUACGUG